CUCGCGCCGCCACCUCCGCCUCGCGCCGCCACCUCCGCCUCGCGCCGUUGUCGCCGUCGCCUCGCGCCGCCACAGACGUCGCCGCCUCCGGCUUCCCCGUCGCCGUCGACCGCCCCCGCCACCAUCGCGGGCCCCCGAAACCCUAGCCGCUGCCGCCCGCUCCCUCUCGUCCCACCCCCUCCCUCGAUGCUCCUUCUCCCGCGACGACGUCUCGAGGUACGUGGUGCUGAGCACGGCGGUGAACUGUUGGGGGAGGUUGGGGGGGGGGUGAGCAUCGUGCUGGAGAAGAAGGCGUUCGUGGUGGAGCUGUUCGACAAGUAUGUCAAGACGCUCGGCUCCGGGAUCGACGUGCUCGCCCCCCUCGUCGACCACAUCGCCUACGUCCACUCGCUCAAGGAGGAGGCCAUCCCCAUCCCUGACCAGUCCGCCAUCACCAAGGACAACGUCUCCAUCCAGAUCGACGGCGUCCUUUGCGUCAAGUGCCAGCAAUUUGCCUCCCUCAUCAGGGCCACAUCUACAUGUGGAGUUCAUCUCCCAUAAAAGAGGAUCCACAUAGUAUACCUCACACAUGAACUCUGUAAUAAGCUGAGGUGAUCUUUAUAUGCUUCACCAACUGGUGACCAAUGGGCUCUUUUCUGAGAAAACAGCCCAGUUUCCUCUUAAUUUUGUUAAUUCUGCACCUUGGUGCUCGUGAAGCAAGUGCACUAAGUUCAGAUGAUGAAGCACUUCUUGCCUUCAAGAAGGCAGUUACAACUUCUGAUGGGAUAUUCCUCAACUGGCGUGAACAAGAUGUGUAUCCUUGCAAUUGGAAGGUUGUUAGAUGUCACAGUCACACCAAGAGAGUAAUUUAUCUUUCACCGCCAUCUUCGACAUUGGCAGCUCCAACCUCUGGGUGCCAUCAGCCAAUUGUUACUUCUCAGUGAGUCCCUGUUCGAUGCACUGUUCAAGGGAAGUUCUCUUAAGAGUCUGCCAAUUGCGACUUGUGCAGUUGUGCUAAUGAUGGAUUUUUCCUGGUGAUGAUUGAUGCAGGUUGUGUGCUUCUUCCACUCUCACUACAAGUCCGGGCAGUCAAGCACUUAUCAGAAGAAUGGAUGUUUUCCUCCGUUCCUCUAUCAUCAUUCCCUAUGACGAGUAAAAAGAGUGAGAUCAUAUGGCAACAUUCUUUGUGAAAGCAACACAUCCAUAUCUGGAUGUAGUGGUUGCCAUAAUGGAGACAAGGAGCUGUUGAAUGUAGUAUUGCUUGAUGUUAAAAGUGGGUCACAAUUUCCAGUGUUGGAAUCUAAUUCAGUACAUGGCAAUGAAAUUUCAUUGACCUCUGAAAGUGAGGUAUCAAACUUAAGGUAUACUCCCAUGGUACCUCAGAUACAUCAUGUUCUAGGUGUUGAAACUGAAAGUUGCAUUCAUUCUGGUGAUUCAAACUUUCUGGAUCUUGAAUGGCUUUCAGCUUCAGGCAACUCAAGCGAUGAAAGGUCCAUUGCAAUUAGUACUCCAGAUGUGAACCUUUCAGCGGAGAAUGUUAUUGCCACAAUGUCUUCUUUUGACUGGUAGAUUUGUAUGAUCAAAUAUAGUUGUACCAUCACCAUGGACACAUUACUCCGAUCAUUAUGUAAAACUUUAUUUUCAUUUUUUAUAUGCAUUGGUGCUUCAUCUUUAGAUUGUAAUGUGUAAGAGUUUUGUUCUCAGUAGAAUCUGUACAACGAUGUAUGCAAAAUUACUCAUCAACAGCAUCCCCUGCAAAUGUAUUCGUGGGUUUUUUCCUUACAUAAUCA